CAAUAAGUCAAUUUUGUUGUUUGCUUAUCGGUUAAGAUUUUCAAUUAUUUACCGUGGUCAUUCUUGCAAAUCCAUUCAUUCAGAUGUCAGAACCACGAGAUUGGGCCUAAGAACUAAAUCCAAACCACAUUUCUCAAGUCUCUAGGGUUUCCUAUAUAAUCCACCUAAAACCCUAGUAUCAUUUUCCUCCCAUUUAGUGCCGCAUCUUUUAUUUGACAGAUUUGCUCUGACAAGUAAAGAAGGCUCUUUGAUUAUCACCAAUUCAGAAUGAGAGCUAAGUGGAAGAAGAAGCGUAUGAGGAGAUUGAAGAGGAAGCGCCGAAAGAUGAGGCAGAGAUCUAAGUAGAACCGCAUUCUGCAGUUCUCAAUGGUCUAUCUAUGCUAUUGUCGUCUUUAGGCUUAUGCUGUUUAAGUUUUAGUUUGAAAGUUCCUUAACAUUGACUGGUGAUUUUGUCUUAAUGGCACUGUAUUUAGAUUUCCAAUAUCCGUUUUUUGGUUAUACAUUUAUGCUUUUUAUUA